ACUCAGCUUCAGGUUACUCUAAACACAUUGCUGUGUAGACUCUUAUUGAGAUUUUCAUCCUCUCUUUAGGAGUCCCUGGGCUAGUGGUGAGGCCCUGAGUAAAUGACCCCAGCAGCACAUCACCUGCUGCCAGCACUUCCACGCACAAGUUACACAGAAGGACGAAAAAUGGGACAGCAGAGUCGGGGCCAAGCCUCCAAUUGAUGGAUAAGCUACCAUGAGUCGAUCCCGAUUCCUCAAUUCUCUGCAGUUAUGAAAAACCUGAAGGUUCAAGCAGUCCUGCCCAAACUGUCCCUGCUCUGUGCCCAAGGUUGACCGAUGGCAGGCACCCACUGCACCUUACUAAGUGGGUAGGCUAAUGGAUAGAUGGUGGAUGGAUGG
rnacentral:lncRNA from 1 species